AUACGUAGGUGGCAAGCGUUGUCCGGAAUUAUUGGGCGUAAAGCGCAUGUAGGCGGUAAUUUAAGUCUGUCGUGAAACUGCGGGGCUCAGCCCCGUAUGGCGAUGGAAACUGGGUUACUUGAGUGCAGGAGAGGAAAGGGGAACUCCCAGUGUAGCGGUGAAAUGCGUAGAUAUUGGGAAGAACACCGGUGGCGAAGGCGCCUUUCUGGACUGUGUCUGACGCUGAGAUGCGAAAGCCAGGGUAGCGAACGGGAUUAGAUACCCCGGGAGUCCUGGCCGUAAACGAUGGGUACUAGGUGUGGGAGGUAUCGACCCCUUCUGUGCCGGAGUUAACGCAAUAAGUACCCCGCCUGGGGAGUACGGCCGCAAGGCUUAAACUCAAAGGAAUUGACGGGG
rnacentral:rRNA from 1 species